CUUAUCAUUUAGAGGAAGGAGAAGUCGUAACAAGGUUUCCGUAGGUGAACCUGCGGAAGGAUCAUUGUCGAUGCCUCAAUCCAGAGAGACCCGCGAACGCGUUUCACUACCGGGGACGGUCGGAGCUGCCUGGCAGCCCGCCUUCCCCAAGAGUCGGGACCGAGUCACGCCCAGGCGGCCUCGUCCCGGCGCAACAACAACAAACCCCGGCGCGGAAUGCGCCAAGGAAGCAACAAUCGUAGAGCGCGCCCCGUCGACCCGGCAACGGUGCUCGUACGGGUGAYGUCGCAACACUCGAGUCCAAAACGACUCUCGGCAACGGAUAUCUCGGCUCUUGCAUCGAUGAAGAACGUAGCGAAAUGCGAUACUUGGUGUGAAUUGCAGAAUCCCGUGAACCAUCGAGUCUUUGAACGCAAGUUGCGCCCGAAGCCAUUAGGCYAAGGGCACGCCUGCCUGGGUGUCACCAAUCGUUGCCCCAACCCCCUGUGCCCGUGGCCACGGGGUGGGGCGAAUGCUGGCCUCCCGUGAGCACCGCCUCGCGGUUGGCUGAAAAUCGGGUUCGUGGUGGAUUCAGCGCCAUGACGGAUGGUGGUUGAGUAUGUUCUCGAGGCCAGUCAUGCGCGCGACCUCCACCAGUUCCGUGCCCUGUGACCCGCGGGCGACGUCGAUCGCCCAUGAUGCGACCUCAGGUCAGGCGGGGCUACCCGCUGAGUUUAAGCAUAUCAAUAA
rnacentral:misc_RNA from 1 species